rnacentral:rRNA from 1 species
GGCGCUCCCCCAUUUCUAUAAGAUUGUAUUAGGGUUGAAUGAAGCUUUGUUUAUAUAUUGAUAAUGACAGUAUAUAUAUCGUGUCUUGACUAAUUGCGUGCCAGCAGUCGCGGUAAUACGUAAGAGACUAGUGUUAUUCAUCUUAAUUAGGUUUAAAGGGUACCCAGACGGUCAAUAUAGCUUCUAAAAUGUUAGUACUUGACUAGAGUUUUAUGUAAGAGGGCAGUACUUGAGGAGGAGAGAUGAAAUUCCGUGAUACCAAAGGGACUCUGUAAAGGCGAAGGCAGCCCUCUAUGUAAAAACUGACGUUGAAGGACGAAGGCACAGAGAACAAACAGGAUUAGAUACCCAAGUAGUCUUUGCAGUAAAUGAUGAAUGCCAUAGGUCAGUUUAAUGUAGAUGAGGGACUAGACAUUAAACGUUAUUUGGUCUAUAAAUGAAAGUGUAAGCAUUCCACCUCAAGAG